UACGUAGGGUGCAAGCGUUGUCCGGAAUUAUUGGGCGUAAAGAGCUCGUAGGCGGUUUGUCGCGUCGGCUGUGAAAACUCGGGGCUCAACCCCGAGCCUGCAGUCGAUACGGGCAGACUAGAGUGCUGUAGGGGAGACUGGAAUUCCUGGUGUAGCGGUGAAAUGCGCAGAUAUCAGGAGGAACACCGGUGGCGAAGGCGGGUCUCUGGGCGAGUAACUGACGCUGAGGAGCGAAAGCGUGGGGAGCGAACAGG
rnacentral:rRNA from 1 species